UGAACGCUGGCGGCAGGCCUAACACAUGUCAAGUCCGAGGCGGUAGUCACAGCAUAGCUUGCUCUCCGGUGACGAGCGGCGGACGGGUGAGUAAUGUCUGGGAAACUGCCUGAUGGAGGGGGAUAACUACUGGAAACGGUAGCUAAUACCGCAUAACGUCGCAAGACCAAAGAGGGGGACCUUCGGGCCUCUUGCCAUCAGAUGUGCCCAGAUGGGAUUAGCUAGUAGGUGGGGUAAUGGCUCACCUAGGCGACGAUCCCUAGCUGGUCUGAGAGGAUGACCAGCCACACUGGAACUGAGACACGGUCCAGACUCCUACGGGAGGCAUCAGUGGGGAAUAUUGCACAAUGGGCGCAAGCCUGAUGCAGCCAUGCCGCGUGUGUGAAGAAUGCCUUCGGGUUGUAAAGCACUUUUUUCGAAGAGGAAGGCAUUAACGUUAAUAACCUUACUGCUUGACGUUUCUCGGAAAAGAAGCACCGGCUAUCUCCGUACCAGCGGCCGCGGUAAUACGGAAGGUGCGUUCCGUUAAUCGGAAUUACUGGGCCUAAAGCGCACGCAGGCGGUUUGUUAAGUCAGAUGUGAAAUCCCCGGGCUCAACCUGGGAACUGCAUUUGAAACUGGCAAGCUUGAGUCUUGUAGAGGGGGGUAGAAUUCCAGGUGUAGCGGUGAAAUGCGUAGAGAUCUGGAGGAAUACCGGUGGCGAAGGCGGCCCCCUGGACAAAGACUGACGCUCAGGUGCGAAAGCGUGGGGAGCAAACAGGAUUAGAUACCCUGGUA
rnacentral:rRNA from 1 species